AUACUUCCCAGGGAGAAUCCAUGAUCCUCUCAGCUGAUGAAAUAUAGUUAUAGGGUGAAGACUUCCCCUUGUACUCUGGGCAGACUGACCCCUGUGAGCCUUCCCAAAUACAUGAAACUCAACUGCACAAUUUUGUGGUAAUAGGAGACUGUAUUCUUGCUUUCCCUGU
ensembl:snRNA U1 U1 spliceosomal RNA